UACGUAGGGGGCAAGCGUUGUCCGGAUUUCCUGGGCGUAAAGAGCGUGUAGGCGGCCAGACCGGUCCGUUGUGAAAACUCGAGGCUCAACCUCGAGCUGUCGAUGGAAACCAUCUGGCUAGAGUCCGGAAGAGGAGAGUGGAAUUCCCGGUGUAGCGGUGAAAUGCGCAGAUAUCGGGAAGAACACCCGUGGCGAAGGCGGCUCUCUGGGACGGUACUGACGCUGAGACGCGAAAGCGUGGGGAGCGAACAGG
rnacentral:rRNA from 1 species